UAUUACGAUAUUCUCUGCUUUUUUUUUUCUUUUUUUAGAGGAUCUAUAUAAGAAAUAUCUGUGCGAAUGGCUUAUCUAUGCCUGCCACAAACCUGCAAUUGAAAACCUUUUCUAUUAGAUUACCUAAUGACCCUUAUGUAAGGGCCUGGAUGAUAAAUUUCUCUGUUUCCAGGAAGAAGUUUGCUUCUGCAGUCCCUGUACUUCCCAGGAGGCUCCUGAUUUUAGCAUCCUGAGCACUGCAGGAAGAUGACAGGCAUCCUAUCCAAGGACCAUGCUCCUCCAAGGAUGGUCUUCAGGCCAGCAGCAGAAGCAUCACCUGGGAGCUUCUGACAAGUGCAGAACUGAGGCGCACCCAGACCUGCUGAAUUCAACUCUGCAGAAGCCAAGUCUCUGGUCUGCUGUUUUGAUCCAAGCUCUUGUACACCAGAUACUCCAUCACUGUCUUGGAACAGAGGAGUCAGGUAUCCAUCACAGGUAACAGAUGAGUAGGUCAAACAGAAACAUGUCUACUACUGUAAUUAAUUAUUAAUGCCUUCUACCAGUAUGGUACUUGCUUCUGGGCUCAGAAGGGCACCCCUAGAUAUUUAACCAAUGUGUAAGAGUACUUUUAGAUGAAGUUGAUACCCUCAGCUUCAUGGUUUUAACCUUCAUGCAGGCAAGACGUGGAAAUCUUUGUAACCAGAUGCAUGUAUUUCUAAAAC